UUAAAAUAGUUUAAAAAAAACAGUGAUUUGUGGAAUCAAAAUUUAUUUUGUAUUUUAAUUU
rnacentral:tRNA from 1 species